rnacentral:rRNA from 1 species
GCCCUUUGAAACAUAAGAUAAAGGGUUGGGCCUGCCCUGUGACCGACGGGUUUAACGGCUGCAGUGAAUAGCUGUGCUAAGGUAGCGUAAUCAGUUGUCCUUUAAUUGGGGAAAGGAAUGAAUGGUUUGACGAAAGGGUAGCUGUUUCAGAGGUAGAUAAGGAAGUUUUCUUUCAGGUGAAAAGACCUGAGUUUUUGUAAAAGACGAGAAGACCCCGUCGAACUUAAUUAUAAUUUUAUAUUAGGUUCUAUAUUAUAAGUUGAUGUGUAAUAGACUCCUAGUAUAAAAAUUUGAAAUUUUAUUGGGGCAAUAGAAAGCAAUGAGAAUCGCUUUUUUAUAAUAUAAAGAUCCAUUAUGAUUGAAAAAAGCAAAAGUUACCGCGGGGAUAACAGCGUUAUUUUUUCUGAGAGUUCUGAUUGAGGGAAAAGUUUGCGACCUCGAUGUUGGAUUAAAAUUUCUUUAUGCUGCAGCAGGUAUAAUAGUAGGACUGUUCGUCCUUGAAAAUUUU